CAACAAUGUGCUCACGUAUUCCAUUCUUUAGCAAUCUCGUAGUUUGACCAACAUAUAAAUCUUGCUAUUCACAAGUUUAAAAGGAAUGGACAUGAAUUAAGAAACAACUCGUGUAGAUAGCUGCUUUUUGUCAGUACGCAAACAGUAAAUGCCAAUAUAAGUUAUUUCUGUAAUUUUCUUCAAUAGGUAAACGGAAAACACCAAUAUAAGUUAUUUCCAUGGGUUGGAAACAAACCAGAG